AUAGCGUAUAUUAAAGUUGUUGCAGUUAAAAAGCUCGUAGUUGGAUUUCUGUUAAUACCUUAUAUAUAAUAUUUUUUUUUAAAUAUUAUUAUGUAAGAUUAACAUAAUUCAUAUUUUUUAAGACUGAAUUUUUAGUUUUGAUAAUAUGAAAUUUUACUUUGAGAAAAUUAGAGUGCUUAAAGCAGGCUUUUGCCUUGAAUACUCCAGCAUGGAAUAAUAAUAAAAGAUUUUUAUCUUUUUUUUAUUGGUUCUAAGAUAAAAAUAAUGAUUAAUAGGGACAGUUGGGGGCAUUUGUAUUUAACAGUCAGAGGUGAUAUUCUUAGAUUUGUUAAAGACAAACUAAUGCGAAAGCAUUUGCCAAGGAUGUUUUCAUUAAUCAAGAACGAAAGUUAGGGGAUCGAAGACGAUCAGAUACCGUCGUAGUCUUAACCAU
rnacentral:rRNA from 1 species